CUCUACCUCGAUUUGCAAUGGAAUUCAAAAGCAUUAUACAUUUUCUUCAUGGCAAAACAAUUCUAUUAACCGGUGUUACUGGCUUCCUUGGAAAAAAGUAUUAGAGCUGGUCAAUAAACUGCUAUGCCAAUAUUUUCAGGGGAUGUGCCUCGACCUAAAUCGAAAAAUUAAUAUUGUUAUGCGGCUGGUCGAUCUUUAUCUACCUUACUUGUUCUUCAAUGGCAUGACCAUAGACAGUAUAGUCGUUGCUUAUGGUAAAGGAAAAUUGACAAGCUUCUUGGCAGAUCUCGAUGCUGUUUUUGAUGUGAUACCAGCAGACAUGGUGGUAAAUGCA